rnacentral:rRNA from 1 species
UACGGGUGGCGCAAGUGUUAUUCCUCAUGACUGGGCGUAAAGGGUGCGUAGAUGGAUAAAUAAAUUUAAAGUAAAUACAACAUAACUUUUUUUCACUAUUUAUCUAGAGUGAUUUAGACGAUAAUGGAACUUCCUGCAUUAGAGUUAAAAUGCGUUUUAAAACUGGAAAGAAACACCAAAGGCAAAGGCAGUUAUCGAUUUUUCACUGACGUUGAGGCACGAAGCAUGGGUAGUCGAAUGG